rnacentral:rRNA from 1 species
GAUGAACGCUGGCGGCGUGCCUAAUACAUGCAAGUCGAGCGAACAGACGAGGAGCUUGCUCCUCUGACGUUAGCGGCGGACGGGUGAGUAACACGUGGAUAACCUACCCAUAAGACUGGGAUAACUUCGGGAAACCGGAGCUAAUACCGGAUAAUAUAUUGAACCGCAUGGUUCAAUAGUGAAAGACGGUUUUGCUGUCACUUAUAGAUGGAUCCGCGCCGCAUUAGCUAGUUGGUAAGGUAACGGCUUACCAAGGCAACGAUGCGUAGCCGACCUGAGAGGGUGAUCGGCCACACUGGAACUGAGACACGGUCCAGACUCCUACGGGAGGCAGCAGUAGGGAAUCUUCCGCAAUGGGCGAAAGCCUGACGGAGCAGCGCCGCGUGAGUGAUGAAGGUCUUCGGAUCGUAAAACUCUGUUAUUAGGGAAGAACAAAUGUGUAAGUAACUAUGCACGUCUUGACGGUACCUAAUCAGAAAGCCACGGCUAACUACGUG